UACGGAGGAUGCAAGCGUUAUCCGGAAUGAUUGGGCGUAAAGCGUCCGCAGGUGGCUGUGUAAGUCUGCUGUCAAAGAGCAAAGCUCAACUUUGUAAAGGCAGUGGAAACUACACGGCUAGAGUGCGUUCGGGGCAGAGGGAAUUCCUGGUGUAGCGGUGAAAUGCGUAGAGAUCAGGAAGAACACCUAUGGCGAAAGCAGCUCUCUGGGACGGUACUGACGCUGAGACGCGAAAGCGUGGGGAGCGAACAGG
rnacentral:rRNA from 1 species